GGGAAAUGAAUGAAAUGUCUGGUGUGUGUCUUAUUGUGGCUACCACCUCCUAAAAAAAUUGGGGAAUAGGCAUGAGUAUAUGUAUCUGUAAGAGAGAGAGAGA